rnacentral:rRNA from 1 species
AACGAACGCUGGCGGCAGGCCUAACACAUGCAAGUCGAACGAACCUUCGGGUGAGUGGCGGACGGGUGAGUAACGCGUGAGAAUCUGCCUGUGGGUCGGGGACAACCACUGGAAACGGUGGCUAAUACCGGAUGAGCCGAAAGGUAAAAGAUUUAUUGCCCACAGAUGAGCUCGCGUCUGGAUUAGCUAGUUGGUAAGGUAAAAGCGUACCAAGGCGACGAUCAGUAGCUGGUCUGAGAGGAUGAGCAGCCACACUGGGACUGAGACACGGCCCAGACUCCUACGGGAGGCAGCAGUGGAAUUUUCCGCAAUGGGCGAAAGCCUGACGAGCAAGACCGCGUGGGGGAGAAGGUUUUUGGA